GACGAACGCUGGCGGCGUGCCUAAUACAUGCCAGUCGAGCGGACUUAAAAAGCUUGCUUUUUAAGUUAGCGGCGGACGGGUGAGUAACACGUGGGCAACCUGCCUGUAAGACUGGGAUAACUUCGGGAAACCGGAGCUAAUACCGGAUAAUCCUUUUCUACUCAUGUAGAAAAGCUGAAAGACGGUUUACGCUGUCACUUACAGAUGGGCCCGCGGCGCAUUAGCUAGUUGGUGAGGUAACGGCUCACCAAGGCGACGAUGCGUAGCCGACCUGAGAGGGUGAUCGGCCACACUGGGACUGAGACACGGCCCAGACUCCUACGGGAGGCAGCAGUAGGGAAUCUUCCGCAAUGGACGAAAGUCUGACGGAGCAACGCCGCGUGAGUGAUGAAGGUUUUCGGAUCGUAAAACUCUGUUGUUAGGGAAGAACAAGUACGAGAGUAACUGCUCGUACCUUGACGUUACCUAACCAGAAAGCCACGGCUAACUACGUG
rnacentral:rRNA from 1 species